rnacentral:rRNA from 1 species
CCUACGGGAGGCAGCAGUGAGGAAUAUUGGUCAAUGGACGGAAGCCUGAACCAGCCAAGCCGCGUGCGGGAAGACGGUACAGCGUAUUGUAAACCGCUUUUGUCCGGGAAUAAACGCGGGGACGAGUCUCCGGAUGAGGGUACCUGAAGAAUAAGCAUCGGCUAACUCCGUGCCAGCAGCCGCGGUAAUACGGAGGAUUCGAGCGUUAUCCGGAUUUAUUGGGUUUAAAGGGUGCGCAGGCGGCCUGUUAAGUUAGCGGUGAAAUGCCCGGGCUUAACUCGGGAGCAGCCGUUAAGACUGGCGGGCUGGAGAGGGGGAGAGGUAGGCGGAAUGUGCGGUGUAGCGGUGAAAUGCUUAGAGAUCGCACAGAACCCCGAUUGCGAAGGCAGCGUACC